rnacentral:rRNA from 1 species
GACGAACGCUGGCGGCGUGCUUAACACAUGCAAGUCGAACGGUGAAGCGCCUUCCUUUUUGGUGGGUGUGGAUGAGUGGCGAACGGGUGAGUAACACGUGAGUAACCUGCCCCCUUCUUCUGGAUAACCGCAUGAAAGUGUGGCUAAUACGGGAUAUUCUGUGUCUGUCGCAUGAUGGGUCUGGGAAAGAUAUUGUUUCGGUGGGGGAUGGGCUCGCGGCCUAUCAGCUUGUUGGUGGGGUGAUGGCCUACCAAGGCGGUGACGGGUAGCCGGCCUGAGAGGGUUGCCUGUCAGACUGGUACUGAAACGCGGCCCGGACUCCUGCGGGAGGCAGCAGUGGGUAGUAUUGCACAAUGGGCGCAAGCCUGGUGCAGCGACGCCGCGUGAGGGAUGGAGUCCUUCGGGUUGUGAACCUCUUUCGCCAGUGAAGCAGGCCUGCCUCGUUUGUGGGUGGGUUGACGGUAGCUGGAUAAGAAGCGCCGGCUAACUACGUG